GUAGUCUCGCACAGAUGCAUAUCAAUAAGCGGAGGAAAAGAAACUAACAAGGAUUCCCCUAGUAACGGCGAGUGAAGCGGGAAGAGCUCAAAUUUGAAAUCUUAAAGGGUUUCCCUUUACGAAUUGUAGUUUAAAGAAGUGUUUUCUGUUGAGGUUUUGGUAAAAGUUCUUUGGAAUGGGACAUCAUAGAGGGUGAGAAUCCCGUAUUUGACCUUUACUUUCAACUUUGUGAUACACUUUCAAAGAGUCGGAUUGUUUGGGAAUGCAGUCCAAAAUGGGUGGUAAAUUUCAUCUAAAGCUAAAUAUUGGCGAGAGACCGAUAGCGAACAAGUACCGUGAGGGAAAGAUGAAAAGAACUUUGAAAAGAGAGUUAAACAGUACGUGAAAUUGUCAAAAGGGAAGCGUUUGACACCAGUGUUGUUUUUCUGAAAAUCAAUUAAAGAACUGUUUAUGCUAAGUUGUUUAGACUUUAUCAGCUAUCUGUUUAGUUUUGAGCUUUUCUUUAAUGCACUUUUCAGUUAACAAGUCAACAUCAAUUUCUUUUGCUGUAAAAAAGCUUGAGGAAGGUGGCUUGAGAUUCGUCUUAAGUGUUUAUAGCCUCUUGCCUAUGCAGUCGGAGAGAUUGAGGUCUGCAGCGUAGAUCCUUCGGGGCUAAAUGCAUUUGUGCUAAGUUAUAGCAUUUUAUAGACAACUUGUUGACUAUGAUUUGUCUUGUAGCUUACUCGCUUAUGUUAUUUUACCUACGCUUAGGAUGUUGAAGACUCUACAGAGAUA
rnacentral:rRNA from 1 species